AUUGAACGCUGGCGGCAUGCCUUACACAUGCAAGUCGAACGGCAGCACGGGUGCUUGCACCUGGUGGCGAGUGGCGAACGGGUGAGUAAUACAUCGGAACGUACCUUAUCGUGGGGGAUAACGCAGCGAAAGCUGUGCUAAUACCGCAUACGCCCUGAGGGGGAAAGCGGGGGAUCGCAAGACCGCGGGCGAUUAGAGCGGCCGAUGCCUGAUUAGCUUGUUGAUGGGGUAAAAGCCCACCAAGGCGACGAUCAGGAGCUGGUCUGAGAGGACGAUCAGCCACACUGGGACUGAGACACGGCCCAGACUCCUACGGGAGGCAGCAGUGGGGAAUUUUGGACAAUGGGGGCAACCCUGAUCCAGCAAUGCCGCGUGAGUGAAGAAGGCCUUCGGGUUGUAAAGCUCUUUUGUCAGGGAAGAAACACCGGCUCUAACACAGUCUGGGAAUGACGGUACCUGAAGAAUAAGCACCGGCUAACUACGUGCCAGCAGCCGCCGUAA
rnacentral:rRNA from 1 species